rnacentral:rRNA from 1 species
ACGCUCGACACCUACGGGGGGCAGCAGUGGGGAAUAUUGCACAAUGGGGGAAACCCUGAUGCAGCAACGCCGCGUGAAGGAUGAAGGCCUUUGGGUCGUAAACUUCUGUUCUAAGGGAAGAUAGUGACUGUACCUUAGGAGCAAGUCCCGGCUAACUACGUGCCAGCAGCCGNGGUAAUCUGAGCGGGCUGGCAAGGC